UGUUGGCUGAAAGCAUUGCUGUAAACCUUGAAGAUGUCACGCAGAUCGACAUUUUAUGAGAUACGCGGGAACACACCACUUCUGAAGAUUUUACAUAUAAAAAGCAAUUCACCACAUCGUCACGGCGAC